rnacentral:lncRNA from 1 species
UAGCUUCCUAGCUUCCAUGCUCUUGUGCCCCAGAAAGGGCAUUGCAGUCACUGCAUGCAGAAAGCAAUCAUAGUGUCAGUACUAAAUGGUAGUGUGGAAACCAGAGCCCUAUCGAGAAAGAGCAGACCUGUCAUUUGGCCUGAAACUCUAAUAAUUAAAAAUGGAUUGCCAGGAUAUGAACUCACAAUAUUUUUGGAUCAACCGACACGAGUGUUGAAAGCAUCUUCAUGGAAGUAUUUUUUUUCUCGAUUUCUAGAUCAGUUGCAGAGUAUAUGUGCUACUCACUACUCUCAAUGUAAACAAUAUUUCUCAGUAUGUGUCGGUUUACAGAAACUGAAACUGUAGCUGUCACUACAGGGCUAUUAAGCAUGUUCUGUGCUACUCACUACAGGGCUAUUAAUCAUGUUCUGUGUUACUCACUACAGGGCUAUUAAGCAUGUCCUGUGCUACUCCUAGGAACUGCUGACAAAUUGUAGCAAAUUUAUCGUUCUUCCUGCAAUAUAAACAAGAUAAACCAAAUUUACCUUUUUUCCUGCAUUAGUUGCAUAACCUUUUCUCUUCCUGUUUCAGGAUGUGCUUGUCUUGGAUAUUGGGGGCCAACCUGAAGCGGUGCAAGCUAACUUCAAGACAUAUACCUACAAGGCCAGAGAAUGGUGCUACAGGAAUGGCGUUCGAGUUGAUGCUACCAAGAUUUGCGGGAGAAAGAAACAUGUCUUCACGACCCCACUGAAAAAAACACUCUACACGAUUGUUAAGAACGGAGAUAAUACUAUAACAUUUAUAAAACAAGGUAGGCAUUGGUGGGAAAAGGGAUACUGCACUGGUGGCAAGGCAUAUGAGAUGAUGCCAGAUAAAGGAUGCAAAAAUUACAUGGAAUGCGCAGACACGGAUCACAUUACACUGCCCUUCUAUGGAAACCACCGUUACAUCUCCAAUGGUGACCCUGGAGGGACACUUAUAGGUGUUCGCUAUCUGAGAAAAGCAUUCACCGCCAUACUUGAGGGCGAAGGGCGCGUAGAUCCCAAGUUUAUUGGCGUAUUUGUCUUGUAUCUCGCUGAAGCUCCGACUUUUGAGGUCAUAUUCCAGGCACUAUAUGAGAAUAUACCUAAUCCAAAUUCCUACCGCCUCGACUUCUUUGUUCCAUAUACCAACACACUCGUGCGCCGCUGGAACAAAUUGAGCAAAUAUGCAAUGAAGUAUAUGCACUGUCUACGAGAAGGCAAGGAGCUUCCAGAACUAGACGAGGAGGUUGCUUUGACUGAAUUAAGCUCCAUUCAAGAGGUUCUCAACCUGGUUAAGAUCCUUCAGUUGGAUGCCUAUAAUCAUGGCAUAUUUAUCCACGAGCCAACACAGAACCCGGACCCAGAGGUGUGGAGUGCAGUGGAUAAUGUAUCUGACCGCAAGAAGAAGUAUGAAAGAAGUCCAACUGCUCCUGAGAGUUAUGUUGCUCAGGUCGAUGAAAGCAUGUUCCAUAUGUUGAAUAUCAACGGGAAAGUGGAGAGCUUAUACAUUGACAAACCCCCCAAUUCAGCACUGAAACUGCGCCAAGGGCAUGGCUUGCUUUCAAACAAAGAAACGAGCUUUUCAAGAUCCAUUGCUAAAAGAAGGAUGAGCACAAGUGAAUCUGCUAACGAGGUGUGUACACAGUUAAACAAUACUUUAAUCCUCUGCAUAUCCAUAUUCUGAUCUUUUGGAACCUUGAAUUGCAGAUACUGGAUACACCAAAAGAUAAGCUGCUCCAGACCAGCAAGGUGAAAAUACCUCGUUUCAGCAUCAUAAAUACCUCACUGAAUGAGGACUUCCUUCUUAAAAGGAUUAGAUUGACAGCUCAAAGGCAGCAUCUAUUUGGUUACCAACCACAAGAGAAAAAGGUUUGAAAAAAAUUGUCUAGUUUGAAUGAUCUGCUAUUCACUUUAUAAUACCGUUGCACCUAUUAUUUGCAGGUUUGUUGUUUUGGAGGAACUACCCUGAGGAAUGCAAGUGAAAGGUUCAUAUCAAGCAGAAUAUUGACCAGAAGAAUGCUCGUGCUGAAACCACUGAUGCUCGGGAUGCACAUGCAGAACUGCCCACAGUGGCGAACAACAGUGCCAGCUAUCAAGGGCCAAGGACACGAUGCUAUCCAUCAGUUUAUUCCUCUAAGCCCGCACGGUCCUAGGCAAGGUUUCAUUGGAAGGUAUUCUCUCUUGCUCCAAAAUACCCAACUGUACACUAAAAUAAGCACCAAGACGGACAAAGUACCCAACUGCUUAUUCUUCUGUUCUCCAAUAUUAAAUUGUUGUGUUUUUCUGUAGCCAACCACUAACGUUCGUUAUGCAUUCCUCUAAUACGAUAAGAAUUUCAAUAUGAUGUCUAUGAUGGCCAUCAAUGUACUUCAUUGUAUUUAUGUUGGUAACUCUUUAGUACCAAAUAACUUGAAGCUAAUGUCGAAUGCUAAGCGUUGCGGUUUCCUUUUCAGGGUAACUUCCCUGAUCAGUAAGCUCAGGCAGAGUUGGAAGUCCUGAUGGUGGGGGUGUUGCAUGAACAUGUGCUAUUUCAGUGGUGCUGUUAACAUGAUGCUGGGAGCCUAUUGCUAUGGUGGUUGGCGUGAAGCCCGUGUUUGCCAUGUCUGAAUAUGUUCGCUAACCCCCAUCUAGGAUUUUGCUGUUUGUUGAUAGGUUAGCUUUAUUUUCGUGAUGUUUCUGCAUUCUCCAAAAUCAGGCAUUGUUGGUUUCUUGCGGAAAGAUGGGAAAUCUAUUGAUGACGUUCAUUAGCCGCCAUGUCAAGUAGAGAAUUAUCAUAUGCAAAACUAUUGUGAUAGGUGAUUCGAUUAAUUCUGCCAUGAUGAUUUCCAGUUUUCCACUAUCUGAAAGUGGGUUGUCAUGCCUGCAAUACAAGCCUUAGGAGCUAUAUUUUGCAGGAUGGUUGGUUGAUGAUGCCAAAGAGGAACAAGCAAAACAUCUUUUCAAUCUUCCAAAUGAAUCUAAGGUUCCAAAAUUUGAAAUGUUUUCCAAGCUUUGGACAUAAAAGUAUUUUGAACUUGAACUGACGAUUAAAUCUGAAAAAUACUAACAGAAGAAGCAAAAUCAUCAUAAUUUCACUGUGUUCUGAACUUAUGAUAUAGCUAAUCAUUGAUACUCGUUAGAGGUAUCUCUGACCAUUCUGCUCUUUUGAUACAUACUGGGUUUAUUAAGGCUGCAGCUGCCAGGCCUUUUAAGUUUUGAGCUUUACUGGCUUGUCAGGGGUGAGCUGCCGAAUGUAGUCUCUAUAAUAAUUUGGAAUUCUAUCGCUCCUAAAAAUAACAGCCUGGAUUGGUGGCAGGCUGUUAUGAGGAAGUUACGAAGCGGGCUUAAGGGUUGGGAUCUAAAUGUUGAGGGGAGUGAGUUACAAGAGAAAGAUAAGUUUUAUUAUUAAUGCUUCAGAUAUACUCCCUCCGUAAAGAAAUAUAAGAGCGUUUAGAUCACUAUACAAGUAGUGAUCUAAACACUCUUGUAUAGUGAUCUAAACGCUCUUAUAUUUCUUUACGGAUGGAGUAGUGAUCUAAACGCUCUUAUAUUUCUUUAUUAGUGAUCUAAAUGCUCUUGUAUAGUGAUCUAAACACUCUUGUAUUUCUUUACGGACGGAGUAGUGAUCUAAACGCUCUUAUAUUUCUUGAUGGAGGGAGUACUUGAUAAGAAGUGCGAGCUUGCUGUAGUCUCAGCAGCUAACUAUGAGAAAAGAAAUACGUACUAGCUUGCAAGAUGAAUUGAAUAAAAUCUUAGAGAGGAAGAAAUCAAAUGGUACCAGCCACAGGGCCGGAGGCUCAUGCGAACGAAGCCACGGGCACUAAACUGAGCAUCCAACAGUGCAGGGGUAAGUGGCAACGGCAGACACCUAGCAACGUCGACGGAAACGUGACGAAGACCACCAGAUCAUGCAAGCGAGAGGCACAGGUCCGGGUGCACGCGGCACCAGGACCAGCCUGAUCAUACAUCAAAAUUAGCUCCUGCCAAACGUCCCGGACAAGGAGAAAAAGAAAAGGAACUUGGUCAGUGAGAAUUUCAUAAAAGAAGAAAGCGGACCAAAACAAAGAUGCAUUCCUCUGACGAUAGAAGGUACCUGAGCAUGUGCUCAUCUGGUGAACAGAGGCAGGCCAAAGGAUGCUGCUGCCGGUGCCCCCGUCAAGACUCACACCUCACAGCAAUCGCAGCGACAGAGAGGGGCCGUUAUAGCAACCUGCGAAAAACAAAAUUGCAACCCUUAGGGAACGGUAGAGCAAGCAAACGACAGCCCAGAGACAGAUAAAAAAGCAAUCUUUUUGAGAAUGAAAAUAGCAAAGACGCUGCAGGGUGGAGGAGCCUGCAACCUGUCCGAUGAGAAUCGCCGGGAGAUCCGCCAGACGGGGCAGCAGCAGCCCAAAUCGAAGAGUAAUCGAUCGACGAGGGGCUGGGGAAAGAGGAGCCGCCGCAUCGGAAGANNNNNNNNNNNNNNNUCGGAAGAGGGGGAAAACAGGAUUUGAUGGGAGUUACUGCGACUAGGGACGAGGCCGAAACUUGCUGUGGAGCAAGGACGCGGAGCUGAGCUUCUGCCGGCCGGGGCGACCCAUCACCACUCACUACAUGCCCCUGGACCUGCCGGACGGGGCGACCCAUCACCACUCACUGCAUGCCCCUGGACCUGCCGGCCGCCGGCGCCGGGCACGACUACGCGAUAGGCGCCGCCGCGAGCUUCCGGUGGUGCAGGCGAGCGCGCGGGAGAGGUGUCUGGCAGCGCCGACGAGACGCAAAGACGCCGGCCAUUGCUGAGGCGGAGGCGGCUAGGGUUCGUGGCCUGGCCUGGUGGCGUGGGUGCGCGUGGGCGAUUGGGUGGCUUGUUUCCUUUUUUCUUUUUUUAGGGGAAAGUCGGGGUAGCUUGUUU